AAUGGAAACUCCCAUUAGCUACAGAUUUCCUCCUGCGUGGAAAACAAAAGCACACACAGAAACCCCAGCGCACAAUCCCAACUUACAGUGUGGAUUUUCUAAGAAUCUGAUGCAAAGUGGACAGUUUGGGAGUGAAAGUUAUUGGACAACUGGGUCCUGUAAGGCAGACCUAAUAUGGGGGGUUUUGUCCAAAUUAAUCUAAUAAUCAUAGAAUGGUUUGGGUUGGAAGGGACCUUUAAGAUCAUCUAGUUCCAACCCCCUGCUAUAGGUAGGGACACCUCCCUCUAGACCAGGUUGCUCACAGCCCCAUCCAGCCUGGCCUUGAGUGCUUCCAGCCUGGUGGCAUCCGUGACCUCUCUGGGCAAGCUGUUCCAGAGUCUCAGCACCCCCACAAUAAGAAUUUCUUCCUAAUAUCUAGUCUAAAUUGAUGCUCUUCCAGUUUAAAGCCAUUUCCCCUCAUCCUGUCGCUAAUAAUGUUAAAUGUCAUUUAUGUACAUCUGGAAUGAGACCCAAGCAGUGCGCAGGGAGCACACGGCAGGGACACGGCGCCGGGUCUGUGAGUGUCCAGCCAUUUGGACUCAAACCCAACGGACUCCCAUGGAGAGGAGCUUCCUCCUCUGCACAACAGUUCCUCCCUCUUCCACCCCAUAAGGCACUGGGAUCCAGAGAGAUGGAUCAAUCUUACCCCGGAGCCACAGGUCUCCUCUUGCAUGGAUGAAUGAGAGCCCACACUGAAACUUGAAAUAUUUUCAAGACCAAUCAUCUGCGUAUUAACAUCCAACACGUGCAGGCAACAGACCAACGAUUCUUCUUCUGAGGAAGCUGGCAUGUCAAAAUCUGGCUGUUUCCCUCAAAUAAGCAAGGAAGGGACACGUGGCUCCAAGGGGCACCCAGCACCGGGUCAGGCUCACUGCAUCUCCAUCACAUCCACCACCAGCACAGCGCAGGUUUCCCUCCUUGCUGAGACUCAGGAUGGAGAUUUGCACACAAAGGAAUCCUUCGUUUUUCGUUUCCAGCUGUUUCAAAUUUUCUGUGUACUUGGAAAAAGUAAAAUGAUUCUUUAGCACCGAGAAUAGCUGGCGAUAUUGAAUUUGGAGUGUGCAGGCGGGGAUUAGCUGAACGGAAAUGCAUGGUGGAUGUUUCACGGGUGUUUUACUCAUCCAGGGAGAGAAUAAAAAAUGUGGCACUCGUUAUUUUGUGGGAUAUUUAAUCCCUUCAACUAAUUUUGCGUGAAACGGGCUUUAGGUUCCACUCCCUCCUCUUUUUCUGGUUUUGUUUUUCAACUCUUCCCCACCUUCUUCUCUUCCCUCUUGGAAAAAGGAAUGAAAACAAGAAAUGAAAGAUUUCCCCUUCUCCAUCCUUUAACUUCUCUCAAUCCUCUCCCCUUUUCUUCAGACGCUGCAGUUCCAGGAACGGCACUAAAAGCAUUAAAAGGAAGCACAGCAGACCCCGCCACCGAAUGCCCAAUGAAGCUACACACCUGAUUGAGGCAAACAGUAGGAAGGUGAGCUGGGAGGGGGGAAAUUCAGCAGUUCCCAAUAAAACAGUCACAAAUCCACCCUUGCUGAUGUCACUGCUCCCAUUCCUGGCUACCCAGAACACGCAGCACUGGCAGCAGUUACAAUCAACGCUGGCCAUGAGCAUCUGUUUAUGAGGGUGGAUAGUGAUAGGACAAUGGGGAAUGGUCUUAAACUGAGACAGGGGAGGUUUAGGUUGGAUAUUAGGAAGAAGUUUUUCACCCAGAGGGUGGUGACGCACUGAACAGGUUGCCCAAGGCGGUUGUGGAUGCCCCAUCCCUGCAGGCAUUCAAGGCCAGGCUGGAUGUGGCUCUGGGCAGCCUGGGCUGCUGGUUGGCGACCGUGCACGUAGCAGGGGGUUGGAACUGGAUGAGCAUUGUGGUCCUUUUCAACCCAGGCCAUUCUAUGAUUCUACAAUCCUUCCUCCAGCCCAGGACCCUGGUGCUGGCACCCAACUGGUGGGACACGCUCACAUCCCCACUGUGCUGGCCACAGCCCUGCCCCAUGCCACUACUGCUUCUCAGGCCUCAGCUUUGCUUAGCAUGGACAAACACCUCACCCAAAUUUCCACUCAGCUGUGCUCUGCCAUCUGCUCACGGUUUUCCUGACGUUACCUGUGCAGCUCCAUCAUUUGAACACAGGCUGAAGCACAUGUGGUUUAAAGCUGGAUGUUAAUUAGGAACGUCCAGCGUGUCAAAUACAUGAUUAAUGCACGGAGUUUUAAUUGAAAUGAACCAGAAUUCCGCAUUCUGAAGGUCUGCUCUCCUUCCCUACUUUUGGGGGUGAAGAGUUUUUUUUAAAGCAAAACCAGGUCAGAGACUUGGCUGGUGCAAAGCAGCCUAUUUGUAUUGGAGGCGAUGAAGGCUAUUUGCUCCAGCUGAAAAUGUGGCCUGAAAACUGAGGGCUACAUUAAAAAUAAUGAGAAAAAUGUCACAACACUGCUCUACAUUGUUUUCUUAUUAACAAACAUAGCUGGAGGCAUGAUUAAGGGGGCUCAUCAUUCACAUUGCAAUUAUGAGGUAUUAUUUGUAAUAUCAUUUUAAAUUUGCCUCUUGGUAAUCCACUGAAGAAAAUCUGAUUUCAGCUCACUUCAUGAUUAUGUUUUGGCCGUCAGAAUAAUGCAGAACUGCUUUGUUUGGACCAGAUAACAGACCCCACUUUCAUGGGGCAAAAAGGGUCCUCAUGACUGCAAAAUAGGAAACAGUGAAGUAUUUCAGAACCCAUGAGGCUCAAUAUUCAUUUCACAGUUUGCUUUUUAGAGGGGAAAAAACCCAACUAAACCAAACACAGGCCGUGGAGCAAAUGAAAACCUGUGGACUGACCUUGCAGAACUACAGCAGAACUUAGAAGAUGUUGUUUCAGGUCAAUUCUGGGACAGCUUUGCUUUGGCAUUCCACAGCACAGCUCCGCAUCUCAGAGGUUCAAACCAAAUAUGCUUCGAAUUCUGCCAUCUAUCUGGCUUAUUCCAUCACUGAUGAAGAGACCCCAGAUGCUACUGUCAGUGAGCUCUGCAGUGCUUCUCAGGAGCAGCACAAUGGCCUGAUAGCACAUCCUUACCCUGGCUCAUCCCAUCUACCCAUGGAAUACUUGACAGCACUGAUUGGACGUCUCAAAACAAUAGUGGGUGACCAUGAAAUGAAAGGCAAUCCAAUGCAAACCAGGCAAUCACUUCGGUUCAGGCCUAUUCCCAUCAUCAGUCCUCUUAAUAUCUCAGAAAGCUGCUAUUUUGAUGUAAUUGCCUAUGAAUACCUGCUGCACGCUAUUGAGUUUUAAAGCUGCUGAAUGCUGUUUGCCCUCACUUGGUUACACAGCUUUGCCAAACUUUAAUGAUUUGAGAUGAGAUUUUACAGGUGAAUAAUUGGCCUCCAGGACCAUUUUUUCCUUAAUUUAUAUCUACAAUGACCUGCCCCUUUCUGGGAUGAGGACAGCAGAAAUAACACUCUCCAGCUAAGUUAAACAGCUCCAGCAACUUUUCCCUUAAAAAUUCCUCACUGCCUUUUACACUUUUGGAGCAGGCAUUUUAUUGGGGGUGUCCCUGAGGCCGUCCUUGAGAAAACGGGGCCAAUUUUACAAGAUUUUGUAAAGUCAGGAGUUUGCACAAGCUCAGAAAUACCUCCCUGUGCAGAAAGCUCCAUCUGUCCGGGGCACAUACAGUGGUGAGGCUGCAUGGAGCUCCUGGUGCCGUCCCUCCUGCUCAGCUCUCGCCAUGGGAAGGCCUUUGUGCUCCGCUCCCAUCGGGGUGGGGAAAUGCUGCAGAGCUUUUUGUGAACAGGUAUUACUGCAAAUGGCACUGAGACCAGUAAGAGCAGAGCCAAGGCUAAGCACUGCCACUCACACCUGCAGGAAAGGUGCUGGUCCUUACCAAUAAACCCACACCAAACUUAAUCCUCAUUGCUGGCAUGAGGGGGAAAGCCCAGGGAAGACCCCCAGGCAUGGCCAUUGAGUGCAGCAGGAGUUUGGCACUCACAGCCUGAGCGCCUGGCUCAGGAAACCACCAUUCAGCGCUGCCAGAAGGAACAGAGUGACCCAUGAAACCUUCCCCAAGCAGUGCUGCUACAGGCUUUACAUUCGCUGAACCUUCGGCAACCUGAAGCAAGCGUUCAGCUCAGGCUGGCUUCUGCAAGUUGGC
ensembl:lncRNA